UAGAUGACACCCGUGAGUGGGGAGGGAAUGAUCAUUUUAACAGGUACAGAUGGUGACUGAUGGUGACUUGAUGGUAACUCAGGGUUCUGUUGGUGACUCAGUUUCUCAGAUUGGGUUCAGAUGACAGUUGAUCAGUUGACUUCGGGUUUCAAAUGAUUGUGAUCAGAGUUCGAGCCGAAGCUUCGAUCCUGUGUCCAGAGAUGCACAGCUUUCCAGUCGUGUCUGCAUCAUGUGCAUCAUAGCAUGUUUAUU
rnacentral:lncRNA from 1 species